AGCAGCCGCGGUAAUUCCAGCUCCAAUAGCGUAUAUUAAAGUUGUUGCAGUUAAAAAGCUCGUAGUUGAAUUUCGGGAUCAAUAUAUCGGUCGUGCCUUGGUACGUACUGGUAUCAUUGGUUUCUCCUUUCUGACGAACCAUGAUGUCAUUAAUUUGGUGUUAUGGGAAGUUAGGACUGUUACUUUGAAAAAAUUAGAGUGUUUAAAGCAGGCUUUAGCUUGAAUACAUUAGCAUGGAAUAAUGAAAUAGGACGUUCGAACCUAUUUUGUGGUUUCUAGGAUCAACGUAAUGAUUAAUAGGGAUAGUUGGGGCAUUAGUAUUCAAUUGUCAGAGGUGAAAUUCUUGGAUUUAUUGAAGACUAACUACUGCGAAAGCAUUUGCCAAGGAUGUUUUCAUUAAUCAAGAACGAAAGUUAGGGGAUCGAAGACGAUCAGAUACCGUCGUAGUCUUAACCAUAAAACUAUGCCGACUAGGGAUCGGAUGAUGUUAAUUUUUUAAUGACUCAUUCGGCGCCUUACG
rnacentral:rRNA from 1 species